AUCCUUUUGUAGUUCAUAAACACCUAGUUCAUAAGCGUCCACACUCACAUGUGAGAUCUCCCCCCUUCAAACCUUGUUAUGACAUUGGAACGUUACUAUCUGAUG